rnacentral:lncRNA from 1 species
GGGAGUGCCGUUCAGUAUCGCGCGUAAAAGUGCGAAAAUAGCGAUAUAAAAAUAUCGCACGUGAGUGCGGGAGUGCCGCUAAAAGUAUCGCGCGAUUAAGACUGAGAGAAGGAGGAGGCCUAGGAGAGGCAUCGAGCUUCGGCAGAGCAACCGUCUGAUCGACGCAACAACCCAGAUGAUCUGAGAGGAGGAGCAGGCCUAGGAGAGGCAUCCUGCACCAGCGGAACAACCUGAUGACAACGUAGCUUCAAUAUCAAUUCCGCUGUUGCGCAUCAGUGCCGGUAAGUGACAACCUUUUAUUUUGAAGCAAAGGAUUUAUAAAUGCAUGAAGAAAUCCAUUGCUUCUAACUCUCCGUUGGCAGGACAAUACGCGAGUAAAAAUUAAAGUGAAAAAGUAAA